rnacentral:rRNA from 1 species
GACGAACGCUGGCGGCGUGCUUAACACAUGCAAGUCGAACGAUGAAGCGGCCAGCUUGCUGGUGGUGGAUUAGUGGCGAACGGGUGAGUAACACGUGAGUAACCUGUCCUUCACUCUGGGAUAAGCCCUGGAAACGGGGUCUAAUACUAGAUAUUCUCAAUGUGCCGCAUGGUGUGUUGUGGAAAGAUUUUUUGGUGAGGGUUGGACUCGCGGCCUAUCAGCUUGUUGGUGGGGUAGUGGCCUACCAAGGCUUUGACGGGUAGCCGGCCUGAGAGGGUGACCGGCCACACUGGGACUGAGACACGGCCCAGACUCCUACGGGAGGCAGCAGUGGGGAAUCUUGCGCAAUGGGCGAAAGCCUGACGCAGCAACGCCGCGUGCGGGAUGACGGCCUUCGGGUUGUAAACCGCUUUCAGUGGGGACGAAAUCAGACGGUACCCACAGAAGAAGCCCCGGCCAACUACGUGCCAGCAGCCGCAGUAAAAC